rnacentral:rRNA from 1 species
GUCUAUGGCCAUACCAGCCUGAAUGCACCCAAUCUCAUCUGAUCUUGAAAAAUAAGUGUAGGUAUGUUUAUUAUGCCCACAAGAUUAACAUUAGCAAACCGUAUGAA